UCAGAGCUCCUUUUACCUCCAUAUCUGUGCAUCUCUCAACGGUAAUUCUGCAGAUUCAGAAUUUGACCAUGCUAAGAGCUAAGUAUGUAUAAUUUUUCAUCAUCCACCUGAAAAACAGCACCUGAAACUGGGAGCACAUCACAGAGCAGGCAUAAGACUGACAAUGGAACUAUUCUGGGCAACAUUGUCAUUAAGGGACAUGUGACAAUUUCCAAAAAAUGCUCCUUUUAGAAACAUGAGAAAAAACCCACUUUUUUUAAUCUUCAGGAAAAUGAAGUGAUUCCUUAAAAGUAAACACAGCAUUAAGGCAAAACAGUCUUUCCUUAAAAAUCAAAAAUAUUUAAGGGGCUCCUGAGUGGUUCAGUCA